rnacentral:lncRNA from 11 species
AUGGUUGUUUCUCACAUUCAAGACCUUUGGAUUUUAUUUCUCCUUCUCCAAAAUGACCAAGGAUGCCAGAACAUCAAGAUACGAAGUCUGUCCUUGCCUUGCUGGGCUUUGCUGAAGAGCUCACAGCAGGAGUGGAAAUCAUUACGUGGUCCUCCAGAAGUCCUUGGCGUGAAACACACAACAUCCUCCUCCCAAUUCCUUCCCACCCCCAGUUUACUUCAACUGCUGUCAACUGAAUUCAAAUUAAAAUAUUCAAUUAAUUCAAUAAAGGAAAAGGAAAGAAAGAGUGGAAUAAUUUCCCUUCCCAACAGGAUCAGGGAAAAGCAAACUGCAGCAGCUUCCUCUACGUUAUGUGCUUUUCCUCCUGAAUAAUUUUUGCCAUCUUGAUCUAUUUUUAUUUUAUUGGUAUCUAUUUUUAUUUCAUCAGAAUACUUCUUUAUGUUUAUAAAACCGUACGGCACUUUAUCACUGUUACUCAUUUCCAUGAUAUAGCACUUUAUGAAACCUGUCCCCUCUGGUUCGCUUUUAAUUGCUCUGAUUUUAUCUCCUUGUAUUUUAAUGUAUUGUCCAUUAUAUUAUUUUGUGUAUCGUUGAAAUGUUUUAAGUUUUGUCAAAUAUGUUGUGUCGUUCAGGCUUGUCCCUGUUGUGAGCCGCCCCGAGUUCCUUUGGGGAGAUGGGGCGGGAUGUAAAAAUAAAGAUUAUUACCUUAUUAUUAUUAUUAUUAUUAUUAUUAUUAUUAUUAUUAUUAUUAUUAUAUGACACAGCAAACAAG